UUGUGGAGGAGGACGCCGAAGGUGGGGCUAAUGACUGGGGUGAAGUCGUAACAAGGUAGCCGUACCGGAAGGUGCGGCUGGAUCACCUCCUAACAGGGAGACAACAAAAUGUUAAAUAUUAUUAUUUUGUCACCUUAGGUCGAUCGGUAUCUCACAUUCUUGAUUUAUCACGAAUUUCUUUUCCUAAGUUUUUCUAGGUCACACCCAUUUUUUUUCCUGGGCCAUUAGCUCAGGUGGUUAGAGCGCACCCCUGAUAAGGGUGAGGUCCCUGGUUCAAGUCCAGGAUGGCCCAUAUCUCUAUGUUGGGGGUAUAGCUCAGUUGGUAGAGCGCCUGCUUUGCAAGCAGGAUGUCAACGGUUCGAGUCCGCUUACCUCCACUGAUUACCACCUCUUCCAUAUACUUAGAAAGGAAAAUUUUGAGUUGUGAUCAAAUUCUGAACGAAUCUAGCUUCCUAAUGUAACCAUUAAGAUGCUGGACUCAUUGAAUUAAUUUCAUUGUUUUCAGAGAACCUUGACAACUGCAUAGAUUAUUUUAAAGACAAUAAGCAUCUUUAAUGAUGCAGAUUUAUUAUUUGUGCUAAUGCAUUAAUAACAAUUCUAUUAAGCUGAUGCUUCAAUUUUGAAGUUAUUGGUCAAGCUACAA
rnacentral:misc_RNA from 1 species